GAGGUGAUGGCAGUUGUGGAUGUGCUGACUGUGGAGUAGAUGGUUGAAGAACUGAGGCUGGGAGUACUCUCUGAGGUGGUCUCAGUGGUGGUGAUUGAAGAAGUGAAGCCAGGAGUACUGUGUGAGGUGGUCUCGGUGGUGGUGAUCGAAGAAGUGAAGCUGGUAGUACUGUGAGAGUUGGUCUCGGUGGUGGUGAUCGAAGAAGUGAAGCUGCGAGUAUUGUGUGAGGUGGUCUCAGUGGUGGUGAUUGAAGAAGUGAAGCUGAGAGUACUGUGUGAGGGGGUCUCGGUGGUGGUGAUUGAGGUAGUGUAGCUGAGAGUACUGUGUGAGGGGGUCUCGGUGGUUGCGAUUGAAGAAGUGAAGCUAGGAGUACUGUGUGAGGUGAUCUUGGUGGUCGUGGUUACC
rnacentral:lncRNA from 1 species